rnacentral:rRNA from 1 species
CUGGUUGAAUUCUGCAGAGACUGCCAGACUAGGGACCGGGAGAGGUGUGGGGUACUCUAGGGGUAGGGGUAAAAUCCUGUCAUCCUUAGAGGACCACCAGUUGCGAAGGCGCCACACUGGAACGGAUCCGACGGUCAGGGACGAAACCUAGGGGCACGAACCGGAUUAGAUACCCGGGUAGUCCUAGGUGUAAACGCUGUGAACUUGGUGUCGGGGAUCCGUCAUGGGUCCCCGGUGCCGGAGUGAAGAUGUUAAGUUCACUGCCUGGGGAGUACGGUCGCAAGGCUGAAACUUAAAGGAAUUGGCGGGGGAGCACUGCAACGGGAGGAGCGUGCGGUUUAAUUGGAUUCAACGCCGGAAAACUCACCAAGGCCGACUAUUAGAUGAAGAUCAGCGUAAUGAGCUUAUCGGAUUUUUAGAGAGGUGGUGCAUGGCCGUCGUCAGUUCGUACUGUAAAGCGUUCUUGUUAAGUCAGAUAACGAACGAGACCCUCAUCUCUAUUUGCUACCUGGUUCUCCGGAACUGGCGCACUAUAGAGAGACCGCUGGUGUGAAACCAGAGGAAGGUGAGGGCAACGACAGGUCAGUAUGCCCCGAAUGUCUUGGGCUACACGC